AGUUAAUAAGUUUUAGAUAAACAUAUAUUUUGAAAAUAUAAAAGGGAUGUUAAAUUCAUCCAUUAACUU
rnacentral:tRNA from 1 species